GCCGGCGACCAUACCACGUUGAAAGCAGCGGUUCUCGUCCGAUCACCGCAGUUAAGCAACGUUGGGCCCGGUCAGUCCUUGCAUGGGUGACCGGCUGGGCGUGGUGGCGUGCGCCUGUA
rnacentral:rRNA from 1 species